UCUAUCAAAUGCACACUACUCAUCCAUCCGUGAUUCAUAUUCUGGAACUGUUCGACUGUAAGCCACCUUCCAGAAGAAAGGUCUAUAGUCUUCACUGUUGUAAGUCUUCUUCCAGUUAGCAUAUACAUGCCUUGCACAAAUCCUAUGUUCUGCAUUUGGAAGAAUUGUUGCAAGAGCAAUUUUUAAACCCUGAAAAACGCAAUACCAAAUUAGUGAAAAGUGAAACACAGAAGUGGUUAUAUCUUAAGAAACAAAGACAUACCUUAUGUCUAUCUGAAAUAAAAGAAAAUCCAGUUCAUGAUCCCAGUCUCAAGUCUGUUUGCAACUUCUUAAUAAACCAAUCCCAUGAAUCUUUGUUCUCUACUCUAGCUACAACCCAUGCUAUAGGAUAAAUCCUAAUUUCUGUAUUUCUCCCUACAACUUCUAAUAUCUCUCAUUUUAAUUCCCACUUA
rnacentral:lncRNA from 1 species